GAGCCUGUAAUUUAAAGGUAGAAUAGCUUCUUGAUAAGAAGUCAGUAGAAGUUCAAUUCUUCUCGGGCUUA
rnacentral:tRNA from 1 species